UCCCUGGGGGACCAGUGGUCAGGUCUCGGCACUCUCACCGCCGCACCCCGGGUUCGAUUCCAGGCCAGGGAA